GUUGGCUUGGAAGCAGCCAUUCAUUUAAAGAGUGCGUAACAGCUCACUAGUCGAGCGGUUCGGCAUGGAUAAUAAUCGGGCAUAAGCAUAUUACCGAAGCUAUGGAUUUGUGCGUAAGUACAACUGGUAGGAGAGCAUUCUAUCGGCGUAGAAGCUGAGUCGUGAGGCUUGGUGGAGCUUAUAGAAAAGAAAAUGUAGGCAUAAGUAACGAUAAAGCGGGCGAGAAACCCGCUCACCGAAAGACUAAGGUUUCCUCAGCCAUGCUAAUCAGCUGAGGGUUAGUCGGGGCCUAACGCGAACCCGAGAGGGGUAGUGGAUGGACAUAGGGUUAAUAUUCCCUAACUUGCUCACGAGGAAAGUGACGGUUCAAUGAGACUUAAGAAGACUGACGGAAUAGUUAAGACCUAGCCUACGGGCGAAGUUGAUUAAGAGCAGUUGGAUCCAAGAAAAGCGAGUGAAGCAACCCGUACCAUAAACCGACACAGGUAGUCGAGGAGAGAAUCCUAAGGUGCUCGAGUGAGUCGUGGCUAAGGAACUAGGCAAAAUAGUCUCGUAACUUCGGAAUAAGAGACGCCAACAGCGAUGUUGGCCGCAGUGAAGAGGCCCAGGCGACUGUUUAACAAAAACACAGGACUCUGCUAAAUCGAAAGAUGCUGUAUAGGGUCUGACACCUGCCCGGUGCUGGAAGGUUAAGGAAGGUGCUUAGCGUAAGCGAAGGCAUUGACUGAAGCCCCAGUAAACGGCGGCCGUAACUAUAACGGUCCUAAGGUAGCGAAAUUCCUUGUCGGGUAAGUUCCGACCUGCACGAAUGGUGUAACGAUCUGGGCACUGUCUCAGCCACGAGCUCGGUGAAAUUGUAGUAUCGGUGAAGAUGCCGAUUACCCGCAAUGGGACGAAAAGACCCUGUGAACCUUUACUAUAACUUCGUAUUGACUUUGAGUAAGUAAUGUGUAGGAUAGGUGGGAGGCUAUGAAGCUGGCACGCUAGUGUUGGUGGAGCCGUUGUUGAAAUACCACCCUUUGCUUACUUGGAGCCUAACUUCUGAAUAAGAGUAAGAAGGACAUUGCGUGGUGGGUAGUUUGACUGGGGUGGUCGCCUCCAAAAGAGUAACGGAGGCUUUCAAAGGUACCCUCAGCACGCUUGGUAACCGUGCGUAGAGUGUAAUGGCAUAAGGGUGCUUGACUGUGAGACCAACAAGUCGAUCAGGUGCGAAAGCAGGACAUAGUGAUCCGGUGGUUCCGAGUGGAAGGGCCAUCGCUCAUAGGAUAAAAGGUACUCCGGGGAUAACAGGCUAGUCUCCCCCAAGAGCUCACAUCGACGGGGAGGUUCGGCACCUCGAUGUCGGCUCGUCACAUCCUGGGGCUGGAGAAGGUCCCAAGGGUUG
rnacentral:rRNA from 1 species